rnacentral:rRNA from 1 species
CCUACGGGAGGCAGCAGUGGGGAAUAUUGCACAAUGGGCGCAAGCCUGAUGCAGCGACGCCGCGUGAGGGAUGACGGCCUUCGGGUUGUAAACCUCUUUCAGUAGGGAAGAAGCGUAAGUGACGGUACCUGCAGAAGAAGCGCCGGCUAACUACGUGCCAGCAGCCGCGGUAAUACGUAGGGCGCAAGCGUUAUCCGGAAUUAUUGGGCGUAAAGAGCUCGUAGGCGGUUUGUCGCGUCUGCCGUGAAAGUCCGGGGCUCAACUCCGGAUCUGCGGUGGGUACGGGCAGACUAGAGUGAUGUAGGGGAGACUGGAAUUCCUGGUGUAGCGGUGAAAUGCGCAGAUAUCAGGAGGAACACCGAUGGCGAAGGCAGGUCUCUGGGCAUUAACUGACGCUGAGGAGCGAAAGCAUGGGGAGCGAACAGGAUUAGAUACCCUGGUAGUCCAUGCCGUAAACGUUGGGCACUAGGUGUGGGGGACAUUCCACGUUUUCCGCGCCGUAGCUAACGCAUUAAGUGCCCCGCCUGGGGAGUACGGCCGCAAGGCUAAAACUCAAAGAUAGUCGCGNGNGAGNGCGACGACGACGACGACGGAGGAGAGG